rnacentral:rRNA from 1 species
CAGCAGCCGCGGGAAAACGGAGGGGGCUAGCGUUGUUCGGAAUUACUGGGCGUAAAGCGUACGUAGGCGGUUUUGUAAGUUAGAGGUGAAAGCCCGGAGCUCAACUCCGGAAUUGCCUUUAAGACUGCAUCACUUGAACGUCGGAGAGGUGAGUGGAAUUCCGAGUGUAGAGGUGAAAUUCGUAGAUAUUCGGAAGAACACAAGUGGCGAAGGCGGCUCACUGGACGACUGUUGACGCUGAGGUACGAAAGCGUGGGGAGCAAACAGGAUUAGAUACCCGAGUAGUCCCUGUCUCUUAUAC